UUGUUUCUAGAAUGUUCUCUCCACGUCAUCCGUGCCGUCGACCAGGCACAAAGGACGUCUGCGAGCGGCCAUAUUGCCUUCAUUUGCCAUCCACUCAUUGCAGUAGUGAGGUCGUGUGCUGAUUUCUCUCUUUUUUUUUUGAACAGUUCAAAUUUCUCUCAACGCCAUGGACAAUUUUGCAUUUCAAGCAUCGCCUUACACGGCCAGUGACGACGGCGGUUCGCCACCCAUGAAAUUCGUUCAACAUUUUAUAUUUGAACGAAUGAGAACCGAAGCACUACUGGAUUCUCAUAACAACCAUGCCAAUUUCGAUACUUGAAAAUUCCAAAAUAUCUUAUUAUGUGAUUUUUGUUUAAUCGUGAUGAUUGAAUUAUGUAAGGCAUGGAAAUAACUACAGUACUUUGGGAUGUACUCUAAAGGAGGUAAAGUAACAUGUUGAUCUGAUCUUUUAAUGUAAUAAUGCUAGUGGGACGAUAGCGUGCUGGGGCUGUAAUUUGAGUAAGAAUAAGAGGAAUGAGGGUGUAAUCAUUACACAAUUACUUGACCAAUUGGAUUGGUCUUAAAUAUUGUGAUAUCAUCAACACGUACAUCAUACUUACUAUCCAACCACCGUAUCUACUUACGUACAAGUGGGCACUUUUCCUCCAAAGUUAAACCCUGCUAUAGUCAAAUUAAUCUCGGGUUUCGUAGGAGGUUGUUUAUUCGUCGUAUAUAGUUACAGUUAGCCGUGUUGAAAAUUGAAGAGCAAAAAUUAUCUCGUUUGACCAUUCCACUGUUGAAAGGUGGCCUUAGGAUGCGAGCUUGUGCUUAAUCGACAGUUGUUAAGGAGUCGGAGAUAUAUUUAUGUUAUGGCUGGUGCGAAAGUGGAUAUAUAUAAAAAAAUCGUUAGAUGCAAUCGGACGUUUUGUAUCUGUUUAAGUUAUUAGCAAUCAAUUGAUGAGAAUUAACGGGUCCUCGUGAAAAUCAAAUCAGUUGCUGUAAACUCAUAACAUAUGUUAAUGUUGAAUUAUUAGUCUGCUAAGUAAUUGAAUUUGUUUAGGCUUUCUCGUUGCUAUGUAUUUUUUUUUAUCAACAAAUAACAAUUCUUAUAUACCUACUUAUUACUUACUGAAACAUAUAUAUUGAAAUAACAGAAACAUUUGACAAAAUAUAAUUAUAUUGUAAAUCUGCUUAAAUUCUUUGAAAGCAAUUUGUACGGACUCUAAUUAUAAAAUGUAAAUUAUGAGUAACUGUUCCAAACAAUGACUAUCUCUUAUUACUUGUCUUAUGCAGUUUGCUUUAACACACUGUAUUAGCGUUUUUUUGUUCUUUAUUAAAAUUAUUGCUUUAUAUAACUACUACAACUAGUAUAGUCUCUAUUAUUUCCUAACAAAUAUUUUACCCAUUACUCCGCCCUGAUAAUACUAAUAAGAAUAAUUGUAUUUCGUAUACUAAACCGUUAAAGUUCAAUAAUAAAUACUAAAUCUUUAUCUCAAAUAUGUCAUAGAUUUAUUCUUAAAGGUCAUUUAUACGUAUCUAACAGUAGAAAUAAAACUGGUUGAAGAAUUUCAACCUACAUUUUUUAAUUUAAUACAUAUAUUUUUAUUAUUAUAAAUACCUAUUGAAUGUACUCUCAAACGAAUUGUAGAGGUAAUUAAAAAAAACUUGUUUAUUAAUCAAAAAGGUAAACUGUUCCAUUUAUUGUAUUACUUGAUUCCAAACUUUUAAUGAAGGUAAUACUUAUAUCAUAUAACGUAAGUACCCAAAUAGUAGCAAAAUAAAAAAUUACUAUGAAUUUUUGAUCUUUGGCCCAAGAGUUAUGCUGAUCGUUGGCGAUAAUUCCAGUAAGUCUAAAUUAUAUUAAAAUAAAAUUUAUAUUUUUAGUUGAUAGUGUAGUUGAAAUUUCCAAAAAAAUAUUUUUAGGGAAGCUUUAGGCAGAUGUUAGUUUUUUAGGUGUACAAUUAAAAUUGGAAUAAAUAAAAUAAGUUAAAACUAAUUGUAUUCUAUAUGCUCGGAUGAAUAGAGUGUGAUGAAUUUAUAACAUAAUUGAGGUAUAUUGUAUAUGUUUAAUCGAGGAAAAUGUAUAAUAAUUUGUAUUUAUCGUUUAAUUAAUAUUGCAAAUAUAUUUCUUGGGUUUGCCUCAACUUCACUAUGACAAAACGACCAUAAUUGUCAUUUAGGUAGGUAGUACUGAAGUGAGAUAAAAUAAAUAAACUCUAUAAAAGCUUGGUGUAUGUUAACAAUUCUAGUGUAAAUUGAUUUUACCUGAUAGUAUUACUGCGCUAAGACAGUGUUCAUAAAAUUAUUGCAUAUGUAUUUGUGAUUAAAUAUUAGGAUUACUGAAGUUUACAUAUUGUUGAUCUGAUCUUGUUAAAACGUUUAGUUUAUUUUUUGUUCUGAUUUAUUUCGUGUAUGUUUUUUACCAUUAAUUUAUGAUUUUAACAGAUUUUAACAGAUAUAACGUUAUAUGUACUUAAUAGUUGAAUAUAAUUAGUUGAUUACAAUGAAUGCCUAUAUGUAUAAUAUGUAAUAGGGUGUUUCACUUACCAGUAUUGGGUUUAAAAAAAAACAAGCACUCGUGGUAAAACAAAUUGUCAAAGUAUUAUAUUAUUCUUAUUUUCGUAUUAUUGAAUUAGGAAGGUUUUUUAACGUAGGAAUUCGACAUAGAAUUCAUUAUGAAUUAAAAUAUACUUGAAAAUCAAAAUAAUAACCAUAAAAAUCAUUAAAAAUAUUGAAUUCAAUAUAUUUGUUUUCAUUGAUUAUUUUAAUGCAUUAAAAAACUAUUUUUUGUUGCAAGAUGUUAGAUUGACACACUUAAGAAUUGGAUACAUUUAAAAACAAUUCUGCUAUUGGUUAUUAAUCUAUUGGUUAUUUAAACAGGUUUAAAACAAGACAAUAUUUCAAAUUGGGAUGUUAAAUAAUUAGUAAUGUGGAAUGUCAAUAAAAUUUACAAAUAACAAUAAAUUGGAGUCUUAGGAAUAGGUAAUAAACCGUUAUCUUUUCGCUUAAUGUCUUCAAUAGUUUUUUUUCUGUUUUUUUCCAAAAACAACAUUAAUAUGAAAAUAUUGUAGUGUAGGUUUUGUGUAUUUACAAGUAAUUAAGUUACAAGUUAUUAAAUAACAAUUAUUAUUAAAUUUUAUAUGAUAAUGAACCAUAGCACAUAGAUAGGUAGAUAUAAUCCAUUGGAUUUCAAUUUUAACACGACUUAAUUUUUAAUUAGGUUGUCAACUUCCUCUGAAAUUUAAGUGUUUCUUGGACCUUUGUCAAUUUAAGAAUUUAAUGAUAACAUUUAGUUCUUCAAUAUAAUUUUUUAUAAAUUUAAUAUACCGAGUUAAGACGUAAAAUAACAAAUAAUUAUGAUACCAAAUGUGGACUAGAUAGUAUGUUAGAUAUUUAACUAAAUAACCAUUUAUUUAUUAAUCAUUAAUCAUGAAAGAACCUAGCAACGAUGUGUAGUAUGUUGCUUGUCUAUAUCUAAUCACAACACGAAUGGUUGCAUUUUUAAUCUGCUUUUACCUACUCCUGAUAUAAAAAAAAUGUCUAUAACUCUGUCACUGUCUGCUUACUUUUUAAUUGUUUCGUAUGAUUGUUGGAAAUUCUUAAUUAUUUAAAUGAUUACCAUUUGUCCUUGUAUUAUAGAGUUCCUCAGCGAGAAAUACGUUUGGUUACCAAAAUAUGUUUUGUAAACUUUACUUGUAAGACUUGUUGCACGCUUGAAAACAUUUUUGAUCAUUUUUGUUUGUUUUUAAACAGUUUAUAAUUUAGGAGAUAUUUGUAAUUACAAUUUUUGUUUUGCUAGUUAAUGAUGAAAAACUUGAUGAACUAGAAUAAGAUGAAAUAAAUACUUCAGUUUUAGUAGGUAAUUUUAUUUCAUUCUGUCUUGAUAUAUAUAUAAAGUUUUUUCGUGGUUUUAUGAUAGGUACACAAUUAUAAUUUUGUAUUGAUUGACUAUUUCGGUAUAUUUUCAUCUUAUUUAUUUUCUUUUAGUAGUGUCUUGUAACUAUAUUGAAUAAUAUACGUAUUUUUUACACAAUUUUUUUAACUCGUAUACUUACUAAAUUUUUUUAUUACUUUAAUUGGAUUUUUUCGUUUGUAUCGUUUGCCAUUUUUUUUAUACGUAUGAUUUUCUUUUUGAGAUUUAUUCUUUCCUUAAAUUUUUUUUAAAUAACUAAUUUUCUAUUACCUAACUAUUUUCAUUCAUCUGAUUACUCUUUAAAAAUAACUAGUAACUUUGUCUAUGGCUUCUUACAACAUUAAAUUUUGUUUACUAAAAAAAAAUUGUUUGUAGUAGUUCAAUUUAAUUAUAGGAACAAAAACUUUAAAAUUGAAUUUAUAUUUCAUUUACUAGUUGUCUUAUUCUUAAUGUCUCAUAUGUUGUCAUAAUUGUUUAAAAUAUUUUUAAAAAUUAAAGCAAGUAUCAAAUAUUGGAGAAUGUACGUUAUUUAUGUAAAUUAUUGUUACACUUUUUAAAUUGUGUUAUAUAAUCAUAGUAUUAUACAAUUUCCGGCUAUAGUUUCGCAAUAAAAGUGAGUACCUAAUAGUUGGUAUAUUCAGUUAUUUUGUUGAGUGAGCAUUAUCAAACGUCGAGACUAUUCUUAUCCUACUUAAUAUUUGGUUGCUAAAAUAAUUAGUUCUUUACAUUUAGUUUACUGUUUUAUUAAUUUAUUUGUAAUACAUCACUAUUAUUGCGCAACAACAUAAUAUUUAACUUAUCCAUUUUCGUAUGAAUACAAUUAAAAUAAAACCUUAUAAUAUUGCCUUACAAUUAGGUAGAUGCACAUGUGUACCUAUUUAUAUAAUUAAAUUGUAGUUCUAGAUUAUUAAAAUACAUUUGGAGAUUACUAAGACAUAGAAAUUCUAUAUGGGAAUAUUUUCUCUUAAUAUAUUUAUUUAAAAGUUCCAUAGUUUAGGUGUGAAGCAUUUGAUUUGUAUUUAUUUUUGAACUGUUAGAUGUGUCGAAUAGUUAAUGUGGUAAAGCGAAAGUAACCGCUAAAAAUAGUAAUAAUAGAAAUAAGUUAUAUUUUAUCUCGAGGUAAAUUAAAAAUUGAUUAUUUGAUUUACUAAAAUACUGCAUAAUUUAAUGAAAAUGUCUCGAGUAGUAGUCAAAAUUUGUAGGUAACUGGUACUUAUGUUAUUUUUAUUGAUGUUAAGAUUGUAGAAAAACAUGUUAUUAUAUACUGUAUUAGUUACUUAGCGUACCAUAUAGGUAUUUGUAAAAUAGUUAAGUAUACAUUUUUCUUUAGUUUAUUCAUUCUGUUCAUGUAAUUAUUAUCAUAAUAUGCUGUAAACAUAAUAAUGUUUGUAUUCAUAAUUCAUACAAUUUUACAUAGGUUUAUAUCAAAGAUUCUAAUCGGGUUGAUCGUUAAAAAU